rnacentral:rRNA from 1 species
UGGGGAAUAUUGCACAAUGGGGGGAACCCUGAUGCAGCAACGCCGCGUGAAGGAAGAAGUAUUUCGGUAUGUAAACUUCUAUCGACAGGGAAGAAAGAGAUGACGGUACCUGAAUAAGAAGCCCCGGCUAACUACGUGCCAGCAGCCGCGGUAAUACGUAGGGGGCGAGCGUUAUCCGGAAUUACUGGGUGUAAAGGGUGAGUAGGCGGCUAUGCAAGUCAUAUGUGAAAUACAGGGGCUUAACCCCUGUGCCGCAUAAGAAACUGUACAGCUUAGAGUGCAGGAGAGGCAAGCGGAAUUCCUGGUGUAGCGGUGAAAUGCGUAGAUAUCAGGAAGAACACCGGUGGCGAAGGCGGCUUGCUGGACUGUAACUGACGCUGAGUCACGAAAGCGUGGGGAGCGAACAGG